ACAGUGGACGCGAGCAUCUUUGUGGCUCAAGUUUUUAAGGGCGCACGGUGGAUGCCUUGGCACCAGGAACCGAAGAAGGACGUAGGAAUCUGCGAUAAGCCUCGGGGAGUCGAUAACCAGACUUUGAUCCGAGGAUUUCCGAAUGGGGAAACCCGGCUGGAGGCAAGUCCAGUCACUCCUGCCUGAAUAUAUAGGGCAGGUAGAGGGAACGCGGGGAAGUGAAACAUCUCAGUACCCGCAGGAAGAGAAAACAAUAGUGAUUCCGUGAGUAGUGGCGAGCGAAAGCGGAUGAGGCCAAACCGGGUCUGUGUGAUAGCUGUCAGGCGUUGCAGGUCCGGGGUUGUGGGAGCUUUUUCACGAUGCUGACAUGUCGUGGUGGAGUAAAAAAUCCUUGUCAUAGUCGAAGGGUCUUGAAUGGCCCGGCACAGAGGGUGCGACCCCCGUAGACGAAAUGGCGUGGACUCCAUGGAAGAUUUCCCAAGUAGCACGGGGCCCGAGAAAUCCCGUGUGAAUCUGGCGGGACCACCCGCUAAGCCUAAAUAUUCCCUGGUGACCGAUAGCGGACAAGUACCGUGAGGGAAAGGUGAAAAGUACCCCGGGAGGGGAGUGAAAUAGAUCCUGAAACCGUGCGCUUACAAUCCGUCGGAGCCUCCUUGUGGGGUGACGGCGUGCCUUUUGAAGAAUGAGCCUGCGAGUUAGUGCUCAGUGGCAAGGUUAACCCGUGUGGGGAAGCCGUAGCGAAAGCGAGUCCGAAUAGGGCGUUUGAGUCGCUGGGUCUAGACCCGAAGCGGAGUGAUCUACCCAUGGCCAGGUUGAAGCGACGGUAAGACGUCGUGGAGGACCGAACCCACUUAGGUUGAAAAC
rnacentral:rRNA from 1 species